rnacentral:ncRNA from 1 species
UGUCUUCGGGGCGGGGUGCAAUUCCCCACUGGCGGUAAUCUGCUGUUGCAGAAAGCCCGCGACCGACGCUUUCAGCGUCGUUGAUUUGGUGAGAUUCCAAAGCCAACGGUUAAAGUCCGGAUGGAAGAAGC